rnacentral:lncRNA from 1 species
CCCCAUCUUCAUAUGGCUUGUGCAGAGAUUCUGUUUUGAUCGUCCACGUUUUUCUCAUUCAUUUGUCUUUAUGUCACAUCUGUCACAUCUGGUCCCUAUUUGUUGUCUCCACCAUUAUUGCUUUUUGUCUUUUCUUUGAUUCAUUAUUUCUGAAGUAUAACCAUUUUUAUGUGUCUAAAUUAUGAAGUGCUAUUGAAUCAAAACU